rnacentral:lncRNA from 14 species
AUGUCAGCCCAAACAGGUUCUGGAUGUGAACCAGGGGGACUUGGAGCCAGCCUCAUACCCAGAUGCCUGCACACCUCCUGGGGGAGCACAACCAGCAGGGCUGGAAGUCCUGGAGAACAGAUCCCUACCCUCAUCCUCUUUUCUGGAGUCCAAGUAACUAUUUACCUUUGCAAGGGGAGAAUAACAAAUGGUUAUGGAAUGGUGUGGGGAUGCAAUGUGCCUGUUUGCUUGGCUUUUGGUGGAGCCUUUCCUUGUGCUCACACAAACAAGAUUGGGAAAGGCCUCAGGGAGCAGCUUUACUUACAAUCUGACCCAGAGGACAUGUCUGUAAUUAAGCACAUGUAUCAUGUAGUUUUGGUAGGUUUGACUCUGAUAUAAAUAUACAUAGCCAAUACAUUAGAGGACUUUUCUAGACCAUAAGACAAUAUUUGUUUUAAAAUCCUUUAUGAAACGUAUUAAUGCUGACCAUUAUAGAGCACUCUGCUGCAGAAGGAUCAAUGGCCUUCACACCACAACUAGUUACAGCAAAUGGAUCAUGCAAAAUCCAGGGCACUUAACAGCCCAGUAUUGGUCUCUACAAUCUGUAUAAAUCGGGAUGCCCUCUGCAUUUCCUGAAGGACAGGACCACAAGUACAGACAGAAACUCCAAUUUAUUCUUCAAACAGUUGUUUUUUUUCUUAAAGUAUUUGCAUUUGAUUUUCAUCUUUCUAUAGGACAUCUGCCUCUUCAAAUACUUGCUAUGAGCCACACUCCUGAGUUUAUUGCUAGAAUGCAGUGGUACGGUUCAUACUGUAAAUCUGGAUUACAGGAAUUCCAUUGUUGUUUACAGGGAAAGUUUCAUCAAAACCAGGAUUUGUGUUGCUGUUGCUGGUAAUAAUUCAUAUGUACUAUGACAGUGGCAAGUCUCUGAGCAGAGCCAAGGCCCCCACUGAACUGGAGCUACAGCGAGUGAGUCCCUUUUAUUCUCCAGCUCUUCACUGUGUGUUUGACCGUUCGUGAGGCUUUACCUCAAGUUACAUAUUCGCUGACACGGCCAGGACGCUCUGCACUAAAGGACGUUACCUUGUGCUGUGCGCUUUCCCACAUCCCUUGUGUACCCAGAGGGACCCCACAAGCGGAUGUGUCUGCGCCCUGGUGUCCACACACCCGGCUUCUCUGAGUCAGGGAGCGAACACUGGCUGGGAACCACGUCCCGGGGCAGGGGAGGGUUCGUGUGCGGCGGCUGCGUGCUGGUGGUUACUGCAGCGGGGCGG